rnacentral:lncRNA from 1 species
ACUAUGAUAUGAAUUUGAGAGUUCUUAUUGUUACUUCUUACUCCUAUCUUGGUGCUCUAUUAUAAAGUAGAUCUUUUUUUCUUAAAAAAAAAGAACAUUAUGUGUAAUAUGUUAGUAUUGAUAUAGUUCCUAGUUCACAUGUGGUGUUCUACAUUGACAUUGAAGCCAUGGUUUACUGAAGCACCAAAACAUCUUAGUGUCAA